rnacentral:misc_RNA from 1 species
GAUGAAGAACGCAGCGAAAUGCGAUACGUAAUGUGAAUUGCAGAAUUCAGUGAAUCAUCGAGUCUUUGAACGCACAUUGCGCCCCCUGGUAUUCCGGGGGGCAUGCCUGUCCGAGCGUCAUUGCUGCCCUCAAGCACGGCUUGUGUGUUGGGCCUCCGUCCUCCUCCCGGGGGACGGGCCCGAAAGGCAGCGGCGGCACCGCGUCCGGACCUCGAGCGUAUGGGGCUUCGUCACCCGCUCUUGUAGGCCCGGCCGGCGCUUGCCGACACAUCAAUCUUUUUUCCAGGUUGACCUCGGAUCAGGUAGGGAUACCCGCUGAACUUAAGCAUAUCAAUAAGCGGAGGA